rnacentral:rRNA from 1 species
UACAGAGGGGGCAAGCGUUAUUCGGAAUUAUUGGGCGUAAAGGGCGCGUAGGCGGCUUUGCAAGUGACGGGUGAAAUCCCUCGGCUUAACCGAGGAACUGCCUGUCAGACUGCAUGGCUUGAGACCGGGAGAGGUGAGUGGAAUUCCCAGUGUAGCGGUGAAAUGCGUAGAUAUUGGGAGGAACACCAGUGGCGAAGGCGCUCUGCUGGACCAUAACUGACACUCAGGGACGAAAGCUAGGGGAGCGAAUGGG